ACUAAGCUGGUCAGUGACAGAGUCUGGGGUUUACUCUUUCUACCACACCUGUCACCAUAAUUCUCAGGUAUGAGCAGCUACUUCGUGUUAAGGUUUCUAUUCCCAUCAGUCCUCUGGACUCAACGUGAUAAGCACAUGUUACUCUGCUUCCCACAGGUGUGUUGUGAGGCUCCCCAGAAACUUCAGUCCCUCCUCUCUCCUGGUGCAGGCAGAACUACAGACAGCUGAAUUUCUUUAUCAUUACCUUAGAUACAAUAAAAAUUCCCAAAGGGAAUUUUCUUCCUGACGUGGAGUUGGCAGCCUUUAUUCAUAAGGGAUGCAUUGGAAUGUUCUGUUUUGGAAUGUCAUCUCAAUUCCAGUUUGGGAUUUUCUGGUCAGCACCAAUGAAGUAAUCUGCCAAGUAGACCCUUUUUCAUUCCCCAAAGGAAGAUGAGUUCAAAUCUCAGCUCUGGUGAAAACUCUUGAGGAAGCUAUUUAACCUCAGUUUUCUCAUCUAUAAAAUGGGCUAGGGACUUCCCCCAUGGCUCAGUGGUUAAGGAUCUGUCUGCC